AAACUGCUAUGAUGAAUCAUGAAAUCAACACCGCAUGUCAAACCUAGAUAUGCCAAUGUAUUGAUGAGAAGAUAUUUCAUAUUCUGAGCUAAUU